rnacentral:rRNA from 1 species
UACGUAGGGUGCGAGCGUUGUCCGGAAUUAUUGGGCGUAAAGGGCUCGUAGGCGGUCUGUCGCGUCGGGAGUGAAAACUCAGGGCUUAACCCUGAGCCUGCUUCCGAUACGGGCAGACUAGAGGUAUGCAGGGGAGAACGGAAUUCCUGGUGUAGCGGUGAAAUGCGCAGAUAUCAGGAGGAACACCGGUGGCGAAGGCGGUUCUCUGGGCCUUACCUGACGCUGAGGAGCGAAAGCAUGGGGAGCAAACAGG